UACGAGUGCUCCAAGCGUUAUCCGGAAUCAUUGGGCGUAAAGGGUGUGUAGGUGGUUGUGUUAGUCUUUUGUUAAAUUCUUCGGCUUAACCGGGGACAUGCAAAAGAAACGGCACGACUAGAGGAUGCGAGAGGCACAGGGAACUCAUGGAGUAGGGGUGAAAUCCGUUGAUAUCAUGGGGAACACCGAAAGCGAAGGCACUGUGCUGGCGCACUCCUGACACUGAGACACGAAAGCGUAGGUAGCGAAUGGG
rnacentral:rRNA from 1 species